GGUGAGUCAUGAAGGAGAAACCUGAGAAUGUGGGAUUAAUGUGGAGGCAUGAGAGACUUGGGGCACCAGGCAAGUCAUGAUAUCUAAGCAGGAAGUAUAUUCCUGGGAACCUAACAACAGUUGCUAUUUCUCUACACAGGGGUGAGUGGCCAGCAGCAGGAGAAACAUGACCAGCAGCAGGUGAGACAAAGUCCCCAAUCUCUGACAGUCUGGGAAGGAGAGACAGCAAUUCUGAACUGCAGUUAUGAGGACAGCACUUUUGACUACUUCCCAUGGUACCAUCAGUUCCCUGGGGAAAGCCCUGCACUCCUGAUAGCCAUACGUCCAGUGUCCAAUAAAAAGGAAGAUGGACGAUUCACAAUCUUCUUCAAUAAAAGGGAGAAAAAGUUCUCCUUGCACAUCGCAGACUCUCAGCCUGGAGACUCAGCCACCUACUUCUGUGCAGCAAGUG